AUAGGAGCUGAGCGCCUUACCUUAGGGUUUCCUCUGGGGUAAGUGAUUGCUUCUACACUGUGAAAAUUUGGCUGAGAGACUCAGACUGGUCAUGGGUAGACCUAUCUGGGGUUUGAUCGAUGCCACUCCUGGUUUCAGGAGUACCCUUCAUAAUAAACCUAGAAAUUCAGUAUUAUAAAGUUUAAUAAAAAACAACUUUUAACAAUGGAUCUCUUGGUUCUCGCAUCGAUGAAGAACGUAGCAAAGUGCGAUAACUAGUGUGAAUUGCAUAUUCAGUGAAUCAUCGAGUCUUUGAACGCAGCUUGCACUCUAUGGUUUUUCUAUAGAGUACGCCUGCUUCAGUAUCAUCACAAACCCACACAUAACAUUUGUUUAUGUGGUGAUGGGUCGCAUCGCUGUUUUAUUACAGUGAGCACCUAAAAUGUGUGUGAUUUUCUGUCUGGCUUGCUAGGCAGGAAUAUUACGCUGGUCUCAGGAUCUUUUUUUUUGGUUCGCCCAGGAAGUAAAGUACAAGAGUAUAAUCCAGUAACUUUCAAACUAUGAUCUGAAGUCAGGUGGGAUUACCCGCUGAACUUAAGCAUAUCA
rnacentral:rRNA from 1 species